UCCUCUCUUGUGCUAGUAACUCCAUGGUC
rnacentral:piRNA from 1 species